rnacentral:rRNA from 1 species
UACGUAGGUGGCGAGCGUUGUCCGGAAUUAUUGGGCGUAAAGGAUGCGUAGGUGGAUAUUUAAGUGGGAUGUGAAAUCCCCGGGCUCAACCCGGGAACUGCAUUCCAUACUGGAUGUCUAGAGUGCAGGAGAGGAAAGCGGAAUUCCUAGUGUAGCGGUGAAAUGCGUAGAUAUUAGGAGGAACACCAGUGGCGAAGGCGGCUUUCUGGACUGUAACUGACACUGAGGCAUGAAAGCGUGGGUAGCAAAC